AUUGAACGCUGGCGGCAGGCCUAACACAUGCAAGUCGAGCGGAUGAAGGGAACUUGCUCCUGGUUUCAGCGGCGGACGGGUGAGUAAUGCCUAGGAACCUGCCUGGCUGUGGUGGAUAACGUCCGGACACGGGCGCUCAUACCGCAAACGUCCUGACGGCGAAAGUGGGGGAGCUUCGGACCUCACGCUCUCAGACGAGCCUAGGUCGGAUUAGCUAGUUGGUGGGGUAAAGGCCUACCAAGGCGACGAUCCGUCACUGGUCUGAGAGGAUGAUCAGUCACACUUGAACUGAGACACGGGCCCGACUCCUACGGGAGGCAGCAGUUGGGAAUAUUGGACAAUGGGCGGAAGGCUUGUCCCAGCCAUCCCGGUGUGUUGAAGAGGGCCUCCGGUUUGUAAGCACUUUUUGUUGGGAGGAAAGGCAGUAAGUUAAUACCUUGCUGUUUUGGCGGUUACAACAGGAUUAGCACCCGCUUACUUCGUG
rnacentral:rRNA from 1 species